UACGUUGGGGGCAAGCGUUAUCCGGAUUUACUGGGUGUAAAGGGAGCGUAGACGGUGAUGUAAGUCAGAUGUGAAAGCCCGGGGCUCAACCCCGGGACUGCAUUUGAAACUAUGUUGCUAGAGUGCAGGAGAGGUAAGUGGAAUUCCUAGUGUAGCGGUGAAAUGCGUAGAUAUUAGGAGGAACAUCAGUGGCGAAGGCGGCUUACUGGACUGUAACUGACACUGAGGCUCGAAAGCGUGGGGAGCGAACAGGAUUAGAUACCCUGGUA
rnacentral:rRNA from 1 species